GUCAGCAUGGCUUAGUGGCUUGAGCGUUGGGCUAUGAUUCUGGAGACCCGGGUUCGAAUCCUUGCUCAGCCA